GAUCCCAUCAGAACUCCGAAGUUAAGCGUGCUUGGGCGAGAGUAGUACUAGGAUGGGUGACCCCCUGGGAAGUCCUCGCGUUGCACCC
rnacentral:rRNA from 1 species